GACGAACGCUGGCGGCGUGACUAAUACAUGCACGUAGAAGCUAGUUACGAACGGGUGAGUAACGUAUCGGAACGUGCCCAGUGGCGGGGGAUAACUACGCGAAAGCGUAGCUAAUACCGCAUACAAUUGGAGGGGCCGAUAUCUGAUUCGCUAGUUGGUGGGGUAACGGCUCACCAAGGCAAAUAUCCGUAGCUGGUUUGAGAGGACGACCAGCCACACUGGGACUGUGACACGGCCCAUACCCCUACGGGAUGCAGCAGUGGGGAAUUUUGGACAAUGGGGGAAACACAGAACCAGCAAUCCCUGAUGUGCGAUGAGGGCCUUCGGGUUGUAAAGCACAGUUGGCAGGAAAGCGGUAGCUGUAGAAUAAGCAAGGGAUAACUACGUGCCAGCAGCCGCGGUAAUAC
rnacentral:rRNA from 1 species